CUGUUGUAGCAGCACAUACACUGCAACUAGAAUGAUACAGAGAAGAUUAGCAUGGAGCUGCACAAGGAUGAUAUGAAAAUUCAUGAAGUGUUUCAUUUAAAA